GCGAUGUGAUGAUAGAAAUUCAAUGGUCUGUCAAUCCACUGAUAAAAUAGUUUGAUGUUAAAUUGAAGUUCCGACAGGUUCUGAUCGC
rfam:Gossypium hirsutum cultivar TM-1 chromosome 24, whole genome shotgun sequence